GGAGGUGUGGCAGAGCGGUUGAAUGCACCGGUCUUGAAAACCGGCGUCGGUUAAUAGCCGAUCGUGAGUUCGAAUCUCACCGCCUCCGCCA
rnacentral:tRNA from 1 species